rnacentral:rRNA from 1 species
UCAGAUUGAACGCUGGCGGCAGGCCUAACACAUGCAAGUCGAGCGGUAGCACAGAGAGCUUGCUCUCGGGUGACGAGCGGCGGACGGGUGAGUAAUGUCUGGGAAACUGCCUGAUGGAGGGGGAUAACUACUGGAAACGGUAGCUAAUACCGCAUAAUGUCGCAAGACCAAAGUGGGGGACCUUCGGGCCUCAUGCCAUCAGAUGUGCCCAGAUGGGAUUAGCUAGUAGGUGGGGUAACGGCUCACCUAGGCGACGAUCCCUAGCUGGUCUGAGAGGAUGACCAGCCACACUGGAACUGAGACACGGUCCAGACUCCUACGGGAGGCAGCAGUGGGGAAUAUUGCACAAUGGGCGCAAGCCUGAUGCAGCCAUGCCGCGUGUGUGAAGAAGGCCUUCGGGUUGUAAAGCACUUUCAGCGGGGAGGAAGGCGAUAAGGUUAAUAACCUUGUCGAUUGACGUUACCCGCAGAAGAAGCACCGGCUAACUCCGUGCCAGCAGCCGCGGUAAUACGGAGGGUGCAAGCGUUAAUCGGAAUUACUGGGCGUAAAGCGCACGCAGGCGGUCUGUCAAGUCGGAUGUGAAAUCCCCGGGCUCAACCUGGGAACUGCAUUCGAAACUGGCAGGCUAGAGUCUUGUAGAGGGGGGUAGAAUUCCAGGUGUAGCGGUGAAAUGCGUAGAGAUCUGGAGGAAUACCGGUGGCGAAGGCGGCCCCCUGGACAAAGACUGACGCUCAGGUGCGAAAGCGUGGGGAGCAAACAGGAUUAGAUACCCUGGUAGUCCACGCCGUAAACGAUGUCGAUUUGGAGGUUGUGCCCUUGAGGCGUGGCUUCCGGAGCUAACGCGUUAAAUCGACCGCCUGGGGAGUACGGCCGCAAGGUUAAAACUCAAAUGAAUUGACGGGGGCCCGCACAAGCGGUGGAGCAUGUGGUUUAAUUCGAUGCAACGCGAAGAACCUUACCUGGUCUUGACAUCCACAGAACUUUCCAGAGAUGGAUUGGUGCCUUCGGGAACUGUGAGACAGGUGCUGCAUGGCUGUCGUCAGCUCGUGUUGUGAAAUGUUGGGUUAAGUCCCGCAACGAGCGCAACCCUUAUCCUUUGUUGCCAGCGGUCCGGCCGGGAACUCAAAGGAGACUGCCAGUGAUAAACUGGAGGAAGGUGGGGAUGACGUCAAGUCAUCAUGGCCCUUACGACCAGGGCUACACACGUGCUACAAUGGCAUAUACAAAGAGAAGCGACCUCGCGAGAGCAAGCGGACCUCAUAAAGUAUGUCGUAGUCCGGAUUGGAGUCUGCAACUCGACUCCAUGAAGUCGGAAUCGCUAGUAAUCGUAGAUCAGAAUGCUACGGUGAAUACGUUCCCGGGCCUUGUACACACCGCCCGUCACACCAUGGGAGUGGGUUGCAAAAGAAGUAGGUAGCUUAACCUUCGGGAGGGCGCUUACCACUUUGUGAUUCAUGACUGGGGUGAA